rnacentral:RNase_P_RNA from 1 species
CGGAGAGGUCGGGGUGACCGCUGGUGACGUCGACGUGGCGUCACGAGAGGAAAGUCCGAGCUUCACAGGGCAGGGUGCUGGUUAACGGCCAGUCGAGGCAACUCGCAGGAAAGUGCAACAGAAAGCAAACCGCCUACCGGCUCCGGCCGGAAGGUAAGGGUGAAACGGUGCGGCAAGAGCGCACCGCCUCUCCGGUGACGGAGAGGGCACGGCAAACCCCACCCGAAGCAAGACCAGACAGGGGUCGCGUGGCCCGCGCGAUGACUCCGGGUUGGUCGCUCGAGCCCACCGGCAACGGUGGGCCUAGAUGAAUGGUCACCACUACACAAAACUCGGCUUAUCGACCUCUCCGCCGU